rnacentral:tRNA from 1 species
GCACUGCCGGUUCAGUGGUAGAAUUCUCGCCUUCCACGCCGGAGACCUGGGUUUGAUUCUCGGUCAGUGUU